UCCCUCAAAAUCUGAUUUCCAUCGCCGAAUUACUCUUCGAUGCUCAGCCCUCUGCCCUCAUUAUAAGAAUCGAAAUUAGGGUUUUUUCAAACCCUUCACAAAGUUUGCCGAAUUGUUGCAGAGGCUGCUAUCUUCUUCUCGCGCCGGAGCUCAGUAAUGGCGGGAGUGGCACCUGAAGGAUCACAAUUUGAUGCUCGUCAAUAUGAUACCAAAAUGAAUGAAUUGCUUGGAUCUGAUGGGCAGGAAUUCUUUACUUCAUAUGAUGAGGUAUAUGACAGUUUUGAUGCUAUGGGCUUGCAAGAGAAUCUUUUGAGGGGCAUCUAUGCAUACGG